rnacentral:rRNA from 1 species
AGUGAACGCUGGCGGCGUGCCUAAUACAUGCAAGUCGAACGGAGUGGCGCACGGGUGAGUAAUAUAUAGCUAAUCUGCCCCUUGCUGGAGGACAACAGUUAGAAAUGACUGCUAAUACUCCAUAGCAAGGGAUGAGACUAUAUCGUAUCAGCUAGUCGGUGGGGUAACGGCGUACCGAGGCGAGGACGCGUAAAUGGUCUUAGAGGAUGAUCAGUCAAAUUGGAACUGAGACACGGUCCAGACUCCUACGGGAGUCGGCAGUAGGGUGUCGUGCCCAAUGGGGGAAACCCUGACGCAGCAUCGCCGCGUGGAGGAUGACACUUUUCGAAGCAUAAACUCCUUUUGUUAGGGAAGCGGUACCUAACGAAUAAGCACCGGCUAACUCCGUGCCAGCAGCCGCGGUAAUAC